GAGUUUGAUCCUGGCUCAGAUGAACGCUAGCGGCGUGCUUAACACAUGCAAGUCGAACGGUGAACACGGAGCUUGCUCUGUGGGAUCAGUGGCGAACGGGNGAGUAACACGUGAGCAACCUGCCCCUGACUCUGGGAUAAGCGUUGGAAACGGCGUCUAAUACUGGAUACGAGUAGCGAUCGCAUGNUCAGCUACUGGAAAGAUUUUUUGGUUGGGGAUGGGCUCGCGGCCUAUCAGCUUGUUGGUGAGGUAAUGGCUCACCAAGGCGUCGACGGGUAGCCGGCCUGAGAGGGUGACCGGCCACACUGGGACUGAGACACGGCCCAGACUCCUACGGGAGGCAGCAGUGGGGAAUAUUGCACAAUGGGCGGAAGCCUGAUGCAGCAACGCCGCGUGAGGGAUGACGGCCUUCGGGUUGUAAACCU
rnacentral:rRNA from 1 species